rnacentral:lncRNA from 1 species
CUGAAGUCUAAAGAUACCAAUUGGAAUACAUUAUCCACAGUUACCAGCUGUGGAAUUUUGAGCAUAAGUAAGUUACUAAUCUCUUAGUCUUACUUGCUCAUCUGUUGCCAAGAGCUGGAAGAAGAUGGCCUCUGCAGGGUCACCUUCCAAGUCCCUCAGGAAGGCAACUAACGGGAGGAACUUAAUGUGCAUCCAGAGACCAAGAUGGCGGGAGUGUGGGAAACGUGGCUUUUAGCAUGCCAGCACCUUCCAAAGGGAAGAUAGGUGGAAUGGAGGUGAAGGGACCGAUGCAAAGUGCUAAACACAAGUUUAAAAUUUGGACUAUGGCUGUUUACAAGGAAGAAUCAAUGUCUUCACACAGGGAGAUCUUUAAAGGCUUUAUUAAAAUGCAGAGAAGGCUUUCCAACAAGGAUGCGAGGGCAGAUGGAAGUGAGAGGCCUUCAUAACGAGAUUAAGCAGAUGGGAAAGUUUACGACUAAUGAGAAGGGCAAAAGGACGCUAAAAGUGAUCAUUUUCUUGAAAUUAUAGUGAGGAGAAGGAUCUGUGCUUUACGUCUUGGGAACCUCCUCUGGUCAUGAACUCAGAAUGGGAAUUUUUUCCAGUAUUCUCUGGGGUAGCUGCUUUCAGAAAGAGGCGGAAAGGCAUGACACUACUUUAAGGUGUUCUAACAGAUUCUGUGAAUUUCAAGGCUAAUUAAUCUCAAGAAGUUUAUCAUUGAUGACAGCUGCUACGGCUUGAUCCUGCUCUUGCAAGGGCUCUAUGACAAUGGAAAUUACAUCAUGGUGUUUCUAGGGACGAGACGGAUGGAAAGCCAACUAGGCAUGUCGACUUCCCCUUCUACACGAUCAAAUGCACAGAAGCAACGAGAUGAGAAAACAUCACAGAAUUUAUCCUCCUGGGACGUUUUAGUGAUGAGGAUGUGAAGGUUGCUCUAUUGCAGUUCUCUCAGGAAACCCGCUCAUUCUUCUUACCACCCGUGACAGGCGCCUCAGCGGAAGAGCAUCUCCUACCAUGGCUGCACAGCCCAGAUGUUUUACACCUACUUCUUUGAUGCCACUGAGAUCUUCCUCUUGGUGGCUGUGGCCUAUGACCACUAGGCAGCCAUCUGCUGGCCCCUUCACUAUACGGUCAUCAUGAGCAGACAGGUGCGCCAUGUCCUCAGGAUGGCCUCUAUUAUCAGAGCAUUCAUCCAUUAAAUCCUGCAUGUAUUGAUUCUUAUUGAACUUCUCUUCUGUGGACCCAAACAGAUAGACCACUAUUUCUGUGAUGUACUCCCCUUGCUGACAUUGGCCUGCACAGACACUACCCUGUCAGGCAUCAUGAUCAUUGCCACCACAGGGGUGAUGUCCACUUGACCUUUGUUGCCUUGGUAAUUUCUUACAUCAUCAUCCUGUCCACCCAAAGGACUUGUUCAUCCAAAGGCCUCCAGAAAGCCCUCUCCUCCUGCGGCUCACACAUCACUGUCGUGUUCAUGUUCAGAUAUCCUGACUGAGACAUCUCUCACGGAUUGAGGGAGGUCCUAAGCACUUCCAUGUUUUUGAGAUCUUCAUUGCAAUGAAAAAAUUAAGCAGUGCCGGGAGCCAGCCCAGUGGCAUAGCGGUUAAGUUUGCACUCUCUGCUUCAGCAGCCAGGGGUUCCCUGGUUUGGAUCCCAAGCAGGGACACACACACCGCUCAUCAAACCAUGCUGUGGCAGGCGUCCCACAUACAAAAAACAGGAAGAUGGGCAUGAAUGUUAGCUCAGGGCCCAUCUUCCUUAGGAAAAAGAGGAGGAUUGGCGGCAGAUGUUAGCUCAGGGCUGAUCUUCCUCAAAAAAAAAUAAAUAAAUAGUAAAGCACCGCCAAA